rnacentral:misc_RNA from 1 species
GCCGCUUUUCCCACUUGCUGUUUCAAUUAUUUAUACUCUCUCACCUCUGCAAAUCUCUGUACCCCUCACUCUCACAUUACUUUCUUUGUCCAUGGAAGGAAAAGCGAAAAAUGCCCUUCUCCUCUUUUCCUUCGCCAUUUUCCUUUCACUCUCCACCACUUCCUCAACCCCACUCCACUACCAGAUCCUGGUUCUGAACCCUCUCCCUAGCCAGCCCACUAUCUCAUGGCCAACCUCCGAUGUCGAUCCCGAUUCCGACUCAGAAACUCUCCCUGCAUCCGUCGCCACCGAAACAGAGUCCACCUUAUCCAUACAGUUACAUCACAUAGACGCAUUAUCCUUAAACAAAACCCCUCAGGAACUCUUCAGCCUGAGGCUUAACCGUGAUGCUUCGCGAGUCAAAGCUCUGUCCUCCCUUGCUGCCUCAGCAGCAGCAGCAGCCGGUGGGAGCGUCACAGGUGGGUUUAGCAGCUCCGUCAUAUCUGGCCUAGCGCAGGGUAGCGGCGAGUACUUCACGCGCAUAGGCGUGGGUACACCUCCCAGGUAUGUUUACAUGGUGCUGGAUACUGGAAGCGACGUCGUUUGGAUCCAAUGCGCCCCGUGUAAGAAAUGCUACUCUCAAUCUGACCCGGUUUUCGACCCGCGUCAAUCUAGAUCUUUCGUUGGGAUUCCGUGUGGGUCCCCCUUGUGCAAUAGGCUUGAUUCACCGGUCUGCAAUACUCAAAAGCAGACCUGCAUGUACCAAGUUUCCUACGGUGAUGGAUCUUUCACUUUGGGUGACUUCUCCACGGAAACGCUGACGUUUCGCCGAUCUAGAGUUGGACGUGUCGCGCUUGGAUGUGGCCACGAUAAUGAAGGCUUAUUCGUCGGUGCUGCGGGUUUGUUGGGACUUGGCCGGGGAAGGUUAUCUUUUCCCUCACAAACCGGUCGCCGGUUUAACCGGAAGUUUUCUUACUGUUUGGUAGACCGGUCUGCUUCUUCUAAACCAUCCUCUGUGGUUUUUGGAGACUCGGCCAUCUCUCGAACCGCCCGGUUCACCCCGUUGAUCUCAAAUCCCAAGCUAGACACUUUUUACUACGUUGAACUCCUGGGGAUCAGUGUCGGUGGCACGCGUGUUCCUGGCAUCACCGCAUCUCUAUUCAAACUCGAUCGAACUGGGAACGGCGGUGUGAUUAUCGAUUCGGGCACGUCCGUGACUCGUUUGACGCGACCCGCUUACAUAGCCCUUCGGGACGCUUUCCGCGUCCGAGCUACCAACUUAAAAAGGGCACCCGAUUUCUCUCUAUUCGACACGUGUUUUGAUUUGUCCGGGAAGACGGAGGUGAAAGUUCCAACAGUGGUGUUGCACUUUAGCGGUGCUGACGUGUCUUUGCCGGCGUCUAAUUAUCUGAUUCCUGUGGAUAGUAACGGGAGCUUUUGCUUUGCGUUUGCGGGUACAAUGAGCGGGUUGUCAAUAGUAGGGAAUAUUCAGCAACAGGGGUUCAGGGUCGUCUACGACUUGGCGGGCUCAAGGAUCGGGUUUGCUCCACGUGGGUGCGCCUAAACUCUGAAGGCGUAAUCAGUGGGCGUUGCGGUAAGGGACAAAAGGUUUUUUCCUUUUUUUAUUUUUUCCUCUAAUUAAUUUUUUUUUUUUCCGUUUGUGGGUUGUCAGAUCGAGUGUAGGAUUUGGGAUGAUAUCCACCUGUUGGUUUUAUGUUGUAACUUAAAAACGACGGUAAAAUCGUUAUAUAAGUUCAAUUUUUAGCUUUUGAAUUAACGUUAUGAGAACGAAAAAUGCAAAUUUUCUUUGAUAAAUACAACCUAAAUCGUGUAGGUGAAAGAUGUAAUGCUGUGGUUCGUAAAUGUUUUUGGUAAAGAAAAUAUACUUCUUACGAGUUGCUAUAAUUUGGUAAACAAUGCAAAUAUGUUGUCCAAAGAAUUACAUUCAUUUGCAUAAGGUAAUAGCUCUGUGAGAUUUGUGGGGACAUUUUCUGGCUACUUGCUAGUGGUUACCCUCUUUGGCAGGGUAGCUUCAAAUUCAAUUUAAAGUUAGGUAAAGGCAUUAACUGGAGGGUCUAUUUCAGUGUAGAACUGGAAAUCUCAUUAGGCUGUAAUUGCUCUUCGAUUUAAUAAAUCUCUCAUCUAUUAAAAAACACUUAAGUUCAAUUAGUGCCAUUCAUAAAAAUAAUGUUUCCUGUCUAAUUACUGCCACUCAUUAAAUUAGUGUUUUUUAUGCUUUUUCACAUCAAUGGAAACCCAGUUGUUUCUGACUGGCUUUUAUUUUGUAGUAAAUGAAAGGGGGAGUUGAAUAUAGGAGGAAGCAGAUUUUUGGAUGUUAUCUCGUUUAACAUUUUGUGAACACAUUAGUUUUAAUAAUAUUACAUUGUGUUCUCUAUUAAAUUUGUCGAAUCUCAGCCGAGAAUGGUGAAAAUUUGAUGGUUGACGAUGUCUUUUUGCAACCACAACCAGCAAUGGUAACUAAAUGGUGGGGCUGUAUACAGACCCAUAAAUUAGAUAUGCAGCAUCAUCUUCAUCUUCAACGGUGAACCGUGAAGGAAAACAAAAGCUUUGGAGGUCUCCAUUUCUUGUGGGCCCUCAUCAACAGUGCCCACUUCGUAAUGGAAUUUCACGAGUCCAGCUUUCGGUGCAUGUGCAUAUGGAUAUGGGGAGUAGGAAUCAAUUACUGUUUAGCACAGUUCUGUCCAAACUAUCAACUUUAUACAUAGACUUCACUAUUCAUGGCAUGGAGUAUGGGCCUAUCUAUCAUAUAACAAUUGGAGCCUUGUGAAAUUACGACUGGGAAAGCACAUACGCCACAUGCAUGAUGAUGCAACUGCCCGCCCAUAUCGCAGAUGCCAGCGGCGGCAAGUCAAAGAAAGCUGCCAACUACUCUACCCUAUGGUAUAUUAGCAAAGCAAAGUCAUUUACUCUACGACCUUCACAGAAUUCUACCCUUUGUGCUAUUCUAGCUGGAGAAAUCCCGUGGAAAAGUUAGAAAAGCGCAACAACAGAUUGGUAGCAGCACUACCAAAAAAGUUGCACAUAUUGAUACUGUGGAUGCUCAAACUUCUUCCUCACUCAGAAAAUAAUCAUAUUUCCGAGAGUAUUUUAAUUAUUCUUAUUUCUUAAAUUAAAGAGGUCAAAAAUAGAUUUCAGUCAUAAUCAAAAAGGGCAAUAGAAUCUAGAGCUGUCAUGAAUAGAAAUUGGUGAAGCUUUGAUGCAUGGCAUGAUAAUUAGAAAAUUUUUA